AGUAAAAGUCGUAACAAGGUUUCCGUAGGUGAACCUGCGGAAGGAUCAUUAACGUAUCUCGGGCGGGAGGCGCGCCUCGCUCCGACCGGUAAAAACGGUCGUCGCAGCGGGCGAGUCCCCCGUUCCCACUUCACAAACCCCUGUGCACCUUUGACGGCGGAGGACGGGCCCGGGCGAAAGUCCGAGUCCUUCUGAAACCGUUACAAACCAAACACCAUCGAUAGAAUGAUUUGCGGCCUUUGUGUCGCCUAACAAACGAAACAACUUUCAACAACGGAUCUCUUGGCUCUCGCAUCGAUGAAGAACGCAGCGAAAUGCGAUAAGUAAUGUGAAUUGCAGAAUUCAGUGAAUCAUCGAAUCUUUGAACGCACCUUGCGCCCCUUGGUAUUCCGAGGAGCAUGCCUGUUUGAGUGUCUUGAAGUCAUCAUCCCCGACAGUUUUUCGAAGCGGUCGAGGGUUGGAUCUGGGGGACUUGCUGCCGGUCAGGUGGCUCCCCUAAAAUGCAUCGGUUGGGCCUGUGGGUCGAACUCGACUGGGCGUUGUACCAUCCUCGCUCUAACGAGACGGACCCGCUGCUGUGCCCCGCUCGGACCGCCUCUCCCCAGGGUGGCGGUCAACAAGCAUUUCUUGAAAUCUGACCUCAAAUCAGGUAGGACUACCCGCUGAACUUAAGCAUAUCAAUAAGCG
rnacentral:rRNA from 1 species